CUUAAAUUGAAGAGUUUGAUCAUGGCUCAGAUUGAACGCUGGCGGCAGGCCUAACACAUGCAAGUCGAGCGGAAACGAGUUAUCUGAACCUUCGGGGAAGGAUAACGGCGUCGAGCGGCGGACGGGUGAGUAAUGCCUAGGAAAUUGC
rnacentral:rRNA from 1 species